UACAGAGGGGGCAAGCGUUAUUCGGAAUUAUUGGGCGUAAAGAGCGUGUAGGCGGCCAGAUAGGUCUGCUGUGAAAACUCGAGGCUCAACCUCGAGCUGUCGGCGGAAACCAUCUGGCUAGAGUCCGGAAGAGGAGAGUGGAAUUCCUGGUGUAGCGGUGAAAUGCGCAGAUAUCAGGAGGAACACCGGUGGCGAAGGCGGAUCUCUGGGCCUUGCCUGACGCUGGAGGCGCGAAAGCUAGGGGAGCGAACAGG
rnacentral:rRNA from 1 species